CCUACGGGAGGCAGCAGCAGGGAAUCUUGCGCAAUGGGCGAAAGCUUGACGCAGCAACGCCGCGUGGGGGAUGAAGGCCUUCGGGUUGUAAACCCCUUUCAGGAGGGAAGAAAUUGACGGUACCUCCAGAAGAAGGACCGGCCAACUACGUGCCAGCAGCCGCGGUAAUACGUAGGGUCCUAGCGUUAUCCGGAAUCAUU
rnacentral:rRNA from 1 species